rnacentral:lncRNA from 10 species
CCCACAGCCCACUUGCACCCAGAGAGACAAUAAAGCCAUGUUGAAAUUCCUUGCAAUUCUUCGAAUGUUCUUUCAGCUGCCUGCCACUUGUCCACCCACUCCCCUCAGACCUCAGUUAGAACCUGACAAUUGGCACUAUGAGCAGAAUCCCAAGAUUUAGAAGUGGCAACACUCCUCUUUCCUGGGAUUGGAAUGGUGCAGCUGAGACCACUUUCCUGGCAGCCAAGCAGGCACAAGCCCUAUAGGUACAAGAAGAUCAAUAACAACUUGAACACCUGGGUGUUUUUAGCCACC